AUCUGGCGCGGUUCAAUACCUCAUCUAGUCUGGGUUCCAGUAUCUAAUUUUUUUUUACUGACAAACUCAUUUCUCUACCGGGACAGGAUGCUGUGCUGGCUGGGAGUUCCAUUUCUACAGCAAGAAUCCUAUCUGGAAACAGAGAAGUUGUCCUCUAAGCCACAGCAGCUCGAACUUUUUUGAUUGUUGUUGCUGCUUUCUCCCAUCACCCCCACCCCCUUUUGACAAAGAUCCAACUGUAAAAAGUCUUACGUAACAGUUCAGGACUACUUCGGUUCUUUUACUGGUAUAUCAAGAGGCCUCAAGAGGACUAUGAAAACACUUACAUCUCCAACUCAGAGCAAUGUGGGUUUCACAAUAUUUCGUAGUACCUCUGGAAAAGGAAAGAAAGGAGGCAAACAAGAAGAGGAUGUUUACUUGUUUGACUUAGAUCUCACUGAAGGUCCUGCCCCCAGAUAUACAACAGUCAAAGGAUUAGAGCCAUCGUGUAACUGACUCAAACAGAAAAGAUAGUGAUGAAGUUCAAACAGACUGGAAGCAAAAAUGUUAACAGUUGAAAUCUCCAAGUUGUAGAAUUAAAGAUGCAACAUCUACCUACGUUUGGCUGAAAAGCAUAUGGAAGAAUCCACAGAGGGAAAGGAAGAAAAGAUGGACUAUUUUUAUUAAGAAAGGGUACCUGUAGAAAGCACAGCUGCAGGGACAGUGGAAAGUAAAGGGCUCCAGGUCCAUGGUUGAAGUGGUCACUUUGGAGGGCAGACACAUCGGCCUCAGAGAAUGAAAAUUACAAAGCAAAUUCCAGCCUACUUCUGUUCUCCUCUCAGGCUGUAUCUCAAUAGGAUCCAACUGGGUGAUCCCAAAUCUUGCAAGAGGCCUUCCAUGGAAUAGACAUUCCAUAAAUGAUUGCCAAAUGAAUUCUCUUAUGUUUUAUGACACAAUUAUGUUUAUAACUUAUGAAACUCCUUGAAGUAAGCAUAGGAUACCUUCAAACCAUCUGUGCCAUGAAGUAGAGUUCCAACGCAGAUAUAAUUUUAUUAUCUACCAGAUAUCAGGACAAAGCUAUCUUGAUUAUACUUGCUAUAGAACCCCUGAAUUUACACUGUAGCCCAACUUCCCCUCCUACUCUUCAGACUAACUAAAUCUACUGAAAAAUACAUGCACAAUCCAUCAAAAUCACAUGCCCCUUUCUCUUCUCUUCCCAGUACAGUGGGUCCUCCGUAUCCAAGAUGUGGAGGACCAAAGAUACUGCACCAUUUUAUAUAAGGGACUUGAGCAUCCUCGGAUUCUGGUGUCCAAGGAGGAUCCUGGAAUCAAUUCCUGUGGAUACCGAGGGACGACUGUAAAUAGCUGAGGCAAAACAGUAGAGUAAAAAAGAAAUAAAUGGUUUGGGAUAGUAUGGAGUUAGAAAACCUGAAUUUAAUUCCAAUUUCUGCCAUGGUUAUGUGUUCUUGGACAAGUGAGUCACCUCUUAAGCCUUAAUUCUCCGUGAAAGAGAGACUAAGUAUACCUGUCCUAUUUUCACAGGAUUGUUGUGAGGCCUCAGAGAGAGCACAGUGAAAAAAUGUGCUGCAAACAGCACACAGCAGUACAGCCCAAUGCAUCCUGGCCUUUGACAGUACUACUCCAUGGCUUAUCCCCACUUUUAGUAGAUAAGAUUCCCUCACUCCCCAAAUUCUCACCUACUUGUCAACCAGAAGCACGUAUUUGCAAGAUGUCUAGCUGAGGUUAUUAAUCUAUAACCUGGGGCUGAAUGCAGGCAUUUUUCUGUAUAUAUGUGUCACCAGCAUAGACAGUCCAUCAGAGCCACAAUCUAUUUAUUUAGGUCUUUGUAAACUUCUCUCAGAAAUAUUUUAGUUUUUAGUGUACAAAUCUUACACUUCUUUUGUUAAAUUUAUUCCUAAGUAUUUUUAUUCUUUUGAUGCAAUCGUGAAUGGAAUUGUUUUCUCACUUUCAUUUUUGGACCGUUGCUAGCUAUAAAAAUACAACUGAUUUUUGUAUAUUGAUCUGGUAUCCUGUGACCUUGCUAAACUGAAUUAGUUCUACUUGUUUUGUGUUUUUUUGUGUGAAUUAUUUAGGAUUAUAUAUAGGAUUAUGUCGCCUAUGAAUAAAAACAGUUUUAAGACAUCCAGUUUAGAUGCCUUCCUCCCUAACCCUCACAUUACUGUACUAGCUAGAACCUCCAGUGAAUGUUGAAAAGAAGUAGUAAGAGCACAGUCUUACCUACCUUAUUCCCAAUCUUAGGGGAAAGGUACUUAUAUUUACCCAAUUAAGUACUAUGUUAGCUUUAGGCUCUUCAUAGAUGUCCUUGGUCAUAUUGCUGAAGUUGCCUUCUAUUCCUAGUUUGUUGGGAGAUUUUGAUCAUGAAUGGGUAUUGAAUUUUGUCAAAUGUUUUUCCUGUGUCUAUUCAGAUGAUCACGUGGGGCGUUUUAACCUUUAUUUUAUUAGACUUAUUUUAUGGCCCAGAAUACUCUUAGAGACUGUUCUAUGUGUACUUGAAAAGAAU